rnacentral:rRNA from 1 species
GUCUACGGCCAUACCACCCUGAACGCGCCCGAUCUCGUCUGAUCUCGGAAGCUAAGCAGGGUCGGGCCUGGUUAGUACUUGGAUGGGAGAAAUAGAUGACUUUAAUA